rnacentral:lncRNA from 10 species
AACAGAGGCACAGUUAACCAGGGCACGCCCUGAGAAGGGACAGGGUUGGGGCUACAGCCUUGGUAUUGGGAAGGUUCAGUUCUUCACCCUAUAUUGAACUUUCUUAUGAGGUCAAGAUGUGUAGAUGAAGGUUCUGGUCUGAGAUCUUAAAAAGGGAGAAGUCUAAUAUCACCCACACAUUCCUGUCUUCUUUCCUUCAACUGUGCCCUCAUACUGGCUCCUUGAUCUGAGUUAUAUCUAUCCUAUUCAAGUAGGAGCCUCUGAAACUCUCUCUCAAUCCCUGGACAAGAUCUAAACAUGUGCCACUCCAGAGGCUGUAGAAGUAGCUUGUAGAAAUAUGGACUAUGGAGCAAAAUGGGACUGGAAAGGUCAUCCAAUCUCACCACCUACUGGAUGUUCAGAUCUGUUCCACAGUAUCUCUGCAAUGGAUCAUUGACCCUAUAUAGAAGGAAAAAGGAAGCAUGGCUCCAGAAGAACAAAGAAGACACAAUGGCAAUAAAUUUUUGAAGCUAGAAAUUAGACACAAAAGUGGUAACUCACUUGGCAGCUCAUGGAAAGCACACAUAGGAAGCAAGAUUGAAAGCCUGGAUAGUGUCCUUGAAAUAGCUAAUUCAUCAUGCAGAACCUGAGAUUUUGGAAACAUCAGGUGAUGAUCAAUGUGCAGAUAUGGGAAGGUCCAAAACAAGGAGAAUUGGUUGAAGCAGUUAGAUCUCUAGAUGCCCUCUUCACCCCACAUAGACAAUCAACUACCUGAGCAUUAAUAUAAAACAGGAGAUUUAUUUUCCGGAGGGGAUGAAGCAAAGGGACUCUGAACUGGGAACACCAAGUUGAAAGUGUGAAUCCUAUACUGAAAACAGGAUUAAGUGAUGAAGUGAUGCUCUUCCUGCUAAUGAUGAAAAUGCUAGAACCAGUUUUGGCCAAACAGGUUUAUAAUCCUCUUUUUUUUUUUUCAGAUGGAGUCUCGCUCUGUCACCCAGGCUGGAGUGCAGUGGUGCGAUCUUGGCUUACUGCUCCGCCUCCCGGGUUCGCGCCAUUCUCCUGCCUCAGCCUCUGAAGUAGCUGGGACUACAAGUGCCCACCACAAUGCCUGGCUAACUUUUGUAUUUUUAGUAGAGAUGGGGUUUCACCAUGUUAGCCAGGACGGUCUCGAUCUCCUGACCUCGUGAUCUGCCCG